AACAUCGCGCACCUGCGGGAACCUGCGGAGGGAUCAUUACCGAGUGUGAACCCCCCCGUAAAAAAGAGGGGUUACCUCCCGUCCUUUGCUGGGAACCCCUUUCCAACUUGGAAGGAGGUUGUUUUCAGACCCUUCUGCUUCGGUGGGGUAACCCACCGGAACAACCUCAAAAAUAUUCUCAAUUCAAAACCGUUCAGUCCGAGAACUUUUUUGAAAAGCGAAAAAACUUUCAACAAUGGA
rnacentral:misc_RNA from 1 species